UACGGAGGGUGCAAGCGUUAUCCGGAUUUACUGGGUUUAAAGGGUGUGUAGGCGGAUUAUUAAGUCAGCGGUGAAAUCUCCGGGCUCAACCCGGAAACUGCCAUUGAUACUAUUAGUCUUGAAUGUUGUUGAGGUGGGCGGAACGGGUCAUGUAGCGGUGAAAUGCAUAGAUACCAUAAAGAACACCUAUUGCGAAGGCAGCUUACUAGGCUGUAACUGACGCUGAGGCACGAAAGUGUGGGGAUCAAACAGG
rnacentral:rRNA from 1 species